rnacentral:rRNA from 1 species
GGAUGGGACUGCGGCCUAUCAGCUUGUUGGUGAGGUAAUGGCCCACCAAGGCGAUUACAGGUACGGGCUCUGAGAGGAGUAGCCCGGAGAUGGGUACUGAGACACGGACCCAGGCCCUAUGGGGCGCAGCAGGCGAGAAACCUUAGCAAUGUGCGAAAGCACGACUGGGUCAGUCCGAGUGAUUCCUGAUAAAGGAGUCUUUUGCCUGUCCUAAAAGCACAGGUGAAUAAAGGGUGGGCAAGUCUGGUGUCAGCCGCCGCGGUAAUACCAGCACCUCGAGUGGUCAGGACGUUUAUUGGGCCUAAAGCAUCCGUAGCCGGCUCUGCAAGUCUUCGGUUAAAUCCACCUGCUCAACAGAUGGGCCGCUGGAGAUACUACAGAGCUAGGGAGUGGGAGAGGCAGACGGUAUUCAGUGGGUAGGGGUAAAAUCCUCUGAUCCAUUGAGGACCACCAGUGGCGAAGGCGGUCUGCCAGAACACGUUCGACGGUGAGGGAUGAAAGCUGGGGGAGCAAACCGGAUUAGAUACCCGGGUAGUCCCAGCUGUAAACGAUGCAAACUCGGUGAUGCAUUGGCUUAUGGCCAAUGCAGUGCCGCAGGGAAGCCGUUAAGUUUGCCGCCUGGGAAGUACGGACGCAAGUCUGAAACUUAAAGGAAUUGGCGGGGGAGCACCACAAGGGGUGAAGCCUGCGGUUCAAUUGGAGUCAACGCC